CCGCGGGAAUGGGGGCGGGAUCCGGAGGGCGGAGGCAGCGGCGGAACCGUGGGACGGACAGACAGACUAACGCACGCACGGACGGACACAGAGACACGCAGACUCGUUCUUGUUCCGGCGCUGCAAUCUCCGGAAUGCUCGGCCCCGCCGCUGCAGCCCCUCGUGGGGUCCGCAGGGACAAAGGAAUUGCCGAGAAGAGUUGAAGACAGCAUGUUGGAGUGGUGACCACCAUGGCCACAGCUGUGCCCUGCUCUCUGCAUUUAUCUUCACUGCUGUCCAGUUGCACCAAAACCUGCCCUAUUUCAAACUGUGAGACAUAAAGAAGCUUUCUCUGUUCUGGAAGAAGCAGAAGAUGACCUGAGUUUCUCCAGGGAAUUGCCUUUGUUUGUUCAGUAAUUGUUUGAACAAAUGAGAAUGAGCUUCAUGUGGAAUAUCUGGAAGAGUUUCACCUGUGGUUUGCAUUAUGUGAGAUAUCCAGGGCCCUGUGGCUGCAAGGGCUUUAUGUAUGUGGCCUUUUAUGUGGUCUUUUUUCAUAACUUCCCUCAUGUGCACACAUUUCCCCCCACACUUUUUUUUUUCUUUCAGUGGGGCUAGUAAGAAUUUGCGGUAUGCUCAUGCUUAAUACCAACUGUAUAAUGAAUUUUAAGCUAUUCCCAUUAAACUUUCAGCAACUGACAGUCUUUCUCCAGAGCAGGGUGAAAUAAUUCUCUGUUUCACCCUUGAGAUUUUAGUAGGCACCCUUGUUGCAAUCUGGAUGACAUUUUCCAUAAAACCAUUCUGUUGUGGAUACCUUGGCCAUGAAGUGUUUUAAGUGAUACUAUUUUUGCAAGCCAUUUAACAUCUUAAUCAAAUCAGGGGCCAUUUUCUGUAAUUACCACAGUUGGUGUAAUACGUGUGUCAGUCUUUAUGGACUAGACAUAAGAUUACCAGUGAUGUUCUUUAAUAGUGUAAUAGCAGAACAACAAGAAAAGUAAUCUAUUUUUAACCUCUAAUUUUCCCAGCAUUAUAAGCAAAUCCAAGCCAUAUCUUAACUUGUUGAUCUAAAAUUCCCUUGACUAUAUUUAGAUAUGGGCUGAUAUCUGUUUCAGGGCUUGUUUUGUUGUUAACAGCUCUCACCUUUUGUCAUUUUAGCAGGUUCUUUCUGGCCUGGUCUAUUUACUAGAAAUUCUAUUAUUAUAUUGUGGUAUUUUUGUGUACUUCAGCUUUUCUGUGCGUAUCUCUUUCAUUUUAUCUUCAUGAGCUGCUGUUCUUCCAUAGUUUCAGCUCUCUCAAUGGGAGGGGAGGCAGGAGCCCUGUGUGGCAGGAUUGUAUUAGCUGAAAACAAGGGGACAGGACAGGUUUUAGAGAGGUCAAGGAGGCAUGUGUCAGACUUGCAAGUUGCAGAGGUUAACUACUCCAAGCUUUGCUAUUAUUCCUAAAACAUCACAAAACAAACAAACAAACAAACAAAAAGGAUGCUAUUGUCAUACUAGGAAGAGUAUAAGAAAAUCUCUGUGAGAUCAGGCUGCUGGGAAAAGCUUGAAAGCAAACCAGGAGCACUCUGAAACAGAAAGAAAUUAAGUAAUCCAAAAUAUUUGGAAAUGACAAUAAAAGAAAACCAGAAUUCCUCAGCAAGAGCAGGGGGAAGGGCUUUUAAAUAGAGCCUGAAACAAAGACAACUGCAGAGGGGAUUGCACAAGCUCUGAGAAAUGAAGCAACCCUGCUCAAUCAAAACCAGGAGUGAGCAGCAACCAGAGCCCAAAGGCUGCUGGUGUUUCAGGACAAGCUGCAGCAGAGGAGCUCCCUGCCCAUCCCACCCUGCUAGGGGAGUUGUGCAAACCCUCCUGGGAGUGUGAACCUGCCUGCCAAGGAGCCUCAGGGCUCAGCAGAUAAAUGUGUGUGGUAGGAGAUGGGACAGUGCAGUUGUUACCACCUGUGUGUCCCUUUAGUAAUGUGAAAAAGGAGGUUUGCAAAGGAAAGGAUGUGCUGGAUUUCUUCUUGAUGGUGGGCAGAGUUUGUGUCUAGCACCACUUAUAAAGAUUGGCUGAUGCAACAGAAAAACAAGCAGAACAAAAGAUGUCUUUUUAACAAGAGUUGCUCUGUGCUGUUUAUGUGAUUGUGAAAGAAAAUAUUUCACCAGUCCAGCUAUCCCAGGGAACAGUUUCUUCCAUGCUGUUGACCACUAGUGAAAAGAUCAUGUAAACCAGCAGUGCUGUUUAUGCUACCAGCAGAAAAUACAACAUUUCCAGUAACACUAUAAGGUAAAAAUAAAAAUGAAGAAAAUGAGAAAGUCAGAUUUCCAGUCUUGUAAUAAUUGCAGUGCCAUAGAGAUAAUCACAGCAGAAUACCUUUGUGGAAGAGAAGAAACAAUGAACUGUGGAAGAGACUGGGGUUAUAGGCUGCAUCCAGCACAAGUGACAAGAAGAAAAAAAAUAAGAAAGAAAGAGAGAGAGAGAGAAAGAAAGAAAGAGAGAAAAAAAGAGAGAGAGAGAAAAGGAAAAGCAACCAAAUUGGAGAGACAUGCUAAGAAUACCUUAAAAAUAGCUAAAAAUCCUAGAAGCCACCCAAAGAAUCAGGAGAUGCUUCCAUGUUCCCACAGGAGACAACAUAAUGGGAUAGACAUCAGCAUACUGUAUUAAAGUUCUAGGUCUCCAGUCUGUGAUCCUCUGAGAAAGCUGCUAGCUCCAGAAUCACCUGUUGGUGACCAAAGUGACAAAGUGGAGACCAAAUCAGGGAUUUUUCACCUGACAUUUUAGGUCAGUUUUCUAAAGCUGUGCCAAAUCACUUACACGUCCAAAUAUCUUCUAACACAGGAUAAUGUGAGGAAUUUUAAGUCACUGUCUCUGGAUGAUUAACACAGGACAGUUCAAGGGACUUUAAACUCAGCUUUCUGUGGAAAAAAGCAUAGCAUUUUGAUAUUCAU